rnacentral:rRNA from 1 species
UACAGAGGGUGCAAGCGUUAAUCGGAAUUACUGGGCGUAAAGCGUGCGUAGACGGUUGCGUAAGUCAGAUGUGAAAGCCCCGGGCUCAACCUGGGAAGUGCACUCGAUACUGCAGAGCUAGAGUGUGGGAGAGGUUGGUGGAAUUCUCGGUGUAGAGGUGAAAUUCGUAGAUAUCGAGAGGAACACCGGCGGCGAAGGCGGCCAACUGGACCACUACUGACGCUGAGACACGAAAGCGUGGGGAGCAAACAGG